AUUGAACGCUGGCGGCGUGCCUAACACAUGCAAGUCGAGCGGUAACAGGUGUAGCAAUACAUGCUGACGAGCGGCGAACGGGUGAGUAAUGCUUCGGAAUCUACCCAAUGGUGGGGAAUAACCAGCCGAAAGGUUGGCUAAUACCGCAUACGUCCCACGGGAGAAAGCAGGGGAUCGCAAGACCUUGCGCCAAUGGAUGAGCCGAAGUCGGAUUAGCUAGUUGGAGGGUAACGGCCUACCAAGGCGACGAUCCGUAGCUGGUCUGAGAGGACGACCAGCCACACUGGGACUGAGACACGGCCCAGACUCCUACGGGAGGCAGCAGUGGGGAAUAUUGGACAAGUGGGGGAAACCCUGAUCCAGCGACGCCGCGUGUGUGAAGAAGGCCU
rnacentral:rRNA from 1 species